rnacentral:rRNA from 1 species
GGACAGAGAGACCCUAUGAAGCUUUACUGUUCCCUGGGAUGGGCUUUGGGCCCCUCUUGCGCAGCUUACGUGGAAGGCAGCGACGGCACCCUCCCGGGGGUGCCCGAGCCAACAAUGAGACACCACCCUAUAGGGGCUAGGAUUCUAACCUUAGGCCUACAAGAAGGAUAGGGGACAGUCCCAGGCAGACAGUUUCUAUGGGGCGUAGGCCUCCCAAAGUGUAACGGAGGCGUGCAAAGGUUUCCUCAGGCUGGACGGAAAUCAACCCUCGAGUGCAAAGGCAAAAGGGAGCUUGACUGCGAGACCCACACGUCGAGCAGGGACGAAAGUCGGCCUUAGUGAUCCGACGGUGCCGAGUGGAAGGGCCGUCGCUCAACGGAUAAAAGUUACUCUAGGGAUAACAGGCUGA